rnacentral:rRNA from 1 species
CUAGUGAUUUGAUCCUGCCAGUAGUUAUAUGCUUGUCUCAAAGAUUAAGCCAUGCAUGUCUAAGUACAAACGAAUGAAAAGUGAAACCGCAAAAGGCUCAUUAUAUCAGUUAUGGUUCCUUAGAUCAUUAACAGUUAGUUGGAUAACUGUGGUAAUUCUAGAGCUAAUACAUGCAUAUAAACACGGACCUACGGGACGUGUGCUUUUAUUAGGCUAAAACCAAGCGGUCGAAAGAUCGUUAAUUAUGGUUGAACUCUAGAUAACUUGCUGAUCGUACGGUCUUGCACCGACGACAGAUCUUUCAAAUGUCUGCCCUAUCAACUUUUGAUGGUAGUAUCUAGGACUACCAUGGUUGCAACGGGUAACGGGGAAUCAGGGUUCGAUUCCGGARAGGAACCUGAGAAACGGCUACCACAUYUAAGGAAGGCAGCAGGCGCGUAAAUUACCCACUCCCAGCUCGGGGAGGUAGUGACGAAAAAUAACAAUACAGGACUCAUAUUAGAGGCCCUGUAAUUGGAAUGAGCACACUUUAAAUCCUUUAGCAAGGACCUAUUGGAGGGCAAGUCUGGUGCCAGCAGCCGCGGUAACUCCAGCUCCAAUAGCGUAUAUUAAAGUUGUUGCGGUUAAAACGUUCGUAGUCGAACUUGUGCUUCAUACGGGUAGUACAUCUAUAAUUGUAGUUUGUGCUAUGCCUCAUGUAUGUAAGCGUAUUACCGGUGGAGUUCUUGCAUGUGUAUAAAUACUUGUAUUUUUAUGUAUGCUCCUCCUAUCUAAACCCGCUUCAGUGCUCUUCAUCGAGUGUUGUUGUGGGCCGGUACAAUUACUUUGAACAAAUUAGAGUGCUUAAAGCAGGCUUCAAAUGCCUGAAUAUUUUGUGCAUGGAAUAAUGAAAUAAGACCUCUGUUCUACUUUCAUUGGUUUUUAGAUCAAGAGGUAAUGAUUAAUAGAAGCAGUUUGGGGGCAUUAGUAUUACGACGCGAGAGGUGAAAUUCUUGGACCGUCAGUAAGACUAACUUAAGCGAAAGCAUUUGCCAAAGAUGUUUUCAUUAAUCAAGAACGAAAGUUAGAGGUUCGAAGGCGAUCAGAUACCGCCCUAGUUCUAACCAUAAACGAUGCCAGCUAGCAAUUGGGUGUAGCUACUAUCAUGGCUCUCUCAGUCGCUUCCCGGGAAACCAAAGCUUUUGGGCUCCGGGGGAAGUAUGGUUGCAAAGCUGAAACUUAAAGGAAUUGACGGAAGGGCACCACCAGGAGUGGAGCCUGCGGCUUAAUUUGACUCGACACGGGAAAACUUACCAGGUCCGGACAUAAGCGUGUAAGACAGAUUGAUAGCUCUUUCUCGAAUUUAUGGGUGGUGGUGCAUGGCCGUUCUUAGUUCGUGGAGUGAUUUGUCUGGUUAAUUCCGAUAACGAACGAGACUCAAAUAUAUUAAAUAGAUGCUUUCAGGAUUAUGGUGUAGAAGCUUCCACAGCCUUCAAUUUCAAGCACAGUAAAAUGUGUGAGCAUUUGAGUGUGUCUAUGGAAGUGGAGCCGUACCUGUUGGUUUGUCUUAUAGUAAGGACACUAGCUUCUUAAAUGGACAAAUUGCGUCUAGCAAUAAUGAGAUUGAGCAAUAACAGGUCUGUGAUGCCCUUAGAUGUCCUGGGCUGCACGCGCGCUACAAUGAAAGUAUCAACGUGUAUUUCCUAGACCGAGAGGUCCGGGUAAACCGCUGAACCACUUUCAUGCUUGGGAUUGUGAACUGAAACUGUUCACAUGAACUUGGAAUUCCCAGUAAGUGUGAGUCAUUAACUCGCAUUGAUUACGUCCCUGCCCUUUGUACUCACCGCCCGUCGCUACCGGAUUG